ACAAAGAGGUGGACCUAAUUAUCUUGCACAUUAUUAUUAUUGAGAAUGUGUCAGUGGCAGGAUCAAACUUGGAGAAAAAAAAGAGGGGGAGGGAGUAGAACGGGGCCAUUUGAAGUAGAACUAAUUGAGCAAAGAUUCGAUCCAGCAACCCUCUACCCCAUACCACCCCACCUGCACCACUCAAGAAACAUCUCUUGUGGUACGUAUCAUGUGGAAAAGGAGGGGGGAGGGGGCAAUAUCGAGUUGAGGUUCAUCUACCAACAGAGAGCGUCAGGUGGCGUUGGAUCUGUUACCAUAUUUAGUUCGAUGAGCCUCGUGGUCAUUUACUGCUAGUCGAUGGACUGUCUCACCCACACGAGGUACAGAGCUGCAAGAGUUGAUUGCACUGUACAGGCGAGAGAAGAAUGGCGACAGAGAAUGAAGUGACCUGAGAGAGAAACCAAUGAGAGGACACAAUUUAUUUAUUUUUUAAGAUGGGAGGACAUGAACUUUCCAUGCUUCAUAUAAGUUUGGUCAGAAAUGAUUCAAAUCUAUGUAGGUAAGUGACACUAGAGGGUGUGGUGGCUGAGGGGUAAGGCGCUUGGCUUACGAACCGAGAGUCCACCCGGCACACUUGGACUUCAGGUGAGGAAAGUAGGUUGGUCGUUGUGCUGGCCACAUAAUACCCUGGUCGUUAAACUUUGGCCAAAGAAACAGAUAACCUUUCAUCAUCUGCCUACUGUUCGACAGGAAAAAAAUGGCUAGAAGAAGAAGGGGGUACUUUACUUUUAAGUGACAAUAAUAAUAUGCAGACCUGGCCGGGAAAUUCCUCAGUGGACACUGUUAAAGGGACUACAAUAAAUGU